rnacentral:rRNA from 1 species
AAUAAGCUUANCGNCUGCGAAUGGCUCAUUAUAUAAGUUAUCGUUUAUUUGAUAGUACCUUACUACAUGGAUAACCGUGGUAAUUCUAGAGCUAAUACAUGCUGAAAAUCCCGACUUCGGAAGGGAUGUAUUUAUUAUAUUCAAAACCAAUGCCCUUCGGGGCUCCAAUGGUGAUUCAUGAUAACUUCUCAAAUCGCACGGCCCCGCGCCGGCAAUGGUUCAUUCAAAUUUCUUCCCUAUCAACUUUCNAUGCUACGGUAGUGUCCUAGCAUGGUUGCAACGGGUAACGGGGAAACGGGGANCCUUCGCCGGGGCGGGGUCGGANAAAANAGANUUUUUUUUUCUUNUAGGAGUCCGAAGGGUAUCGGUUUGUANUCAAANAUAAUUCUANGAAGGCGGUNUUUCGCGGUUACUANAGAANAUANGGUUAUCUGUAUGGGUNUNUNAGAUUCNGAGUUUNGUNUUUNUGCUUUUUUUAUAUUGNUGGUUUUAUCUUUNUGAUUGUUUUACUUUAUUUUUUUU